UACGUAAGGACCGAGCGUUGUCCGGAAUCAUUGGGCGUAAAGGGUACGUAGGCGGUUAGAAAAGUUAGAAGUGAAAGGCUAUAGCUCAACUAUAGUAAGCUUUUAAAACUGUUUAACUUGAGAGAUGGAAGGGAAAGUGGAAUUCCUAGUGUAGCGGUGGAAUGCGUAGAUAUUAGGAGGAAUACCGGUGGCGAAGGCGACUUGCUGGACUUCAACUGACGCUGAGGAACGAAAGCGUGGGUAGCAAACAGG
rnacentral:rRNA from 1 species